GCGCUAGUAGUAUAGUGGUUAUUAUGCGGCCUUGCCAAGGCUGCGGCCCGGGUUCGAAUCCCGGCUGGCGCA
rnacentral:tRNA from 1 species